rnacentral:rRNA from 1 species
GACGAACGCUGGCGGCGUACUUAACACAUGCAAGUCGAACGGAAAGGCCCUUCGGGGUACUCGAGUGGCGAACGGGUGAGUAACACGUGGGUGAUCUGCCCUGCACUUUGGGAUAAGCCUGGGAAACUGGGUCUAAUACCGAAUAGGACCACGCGCUUCAUGGUGUGUGGUGGAAAGCUUUUGCGGUGUGGGAUGGGCCCGCGGCCUAUCAGCUUGUUGGUGGGGUAAUGGCCUACCAAGGCGACGACGGGUAGCCGGCCUGAGAGGGUGACCGGCCACACUGGGACUGAGAUACGGCCCAGACUCCUACGGGAGGCAGCAGUGGGGAAUAUUGCACAAUGGGCGCAAGCCUGAUGCAGCGACGCCGCGUGAGGGAUGACGGCCUUCGGGUUGUAAACCUCUUUCAAUAGGGACGAAGCGCAAGUGACGGUACCUAUAGAAGAAGCACCGGCCAACUACGUG